rnacentral:lncRNA from 1 species
AAGACUGAGGUGCCUUUGCCAAUCUUCUGUUUCCCUUUGACAAGCCCUGAGUUUUCCCGAGGGGAGCCUCCUCUGAAUGGGAGCAGGUCAGGAGUUCCUAAAUAUAAUUUAAAGACAUGACCUC